ACAUAAUAAUUAAACAAGUUUUCUCACAGACGACAUCGAUUCCACUGCUAUGAUAUUCCUCGACUGUAUUUUGAUCUGUGUUCAAAUCCAUUGCUUGUCUGAUGAUACAGUUAGUUAAAAGCAAGGUAAAUUUAUAUCAUACUUUAUAAUCGCCGAAGUACUGCUUUUCUUGGAAUGAUGUUAUCAUGUUAUCAAAGAUAACAACUACAUGUUGGACAUCGAAUGGACAUGCUUAAGUUCAAUUAAGUAAAGUAAACAAAGACAAGAUAUCAAAGCACACUCCUAUCAACGAUCGUACCAUACGAUCACGUUUUUGAAUCAGGCAAUAUAUUUCGAAACCAAUUCUAAGAAAACACAUUUGAAAUUGCAAGUAAAAAAAUCAAUUAAAUGAACUCCAGCUUUGUUGUCAUAUGACCUGCAAAAAAUAAGUGACACUAAUGAACAUUUUUUUUUUUACUUCACAUUUAUCAAAAAUCAAUCUUACCAACAAUAUAGCAUAUGCUAACUAUGAAUAACUGCAAUUAAAUACUUUUAAUCAAUCACGAAAGGCCCAAGUAGCUACUUAGGUAUUCAAGUAAUUAAACAUAAAUAGGUCAAAUAUCACUUUAUAUUUUACUGAUCAUGUGACACAAAGCAGGAUCUUUUUCCCUUAUAGUGCCUGUAAAUACAACAAGAACGCAUUAAAUGACUUGAUCUUACCAUAUUUAGUUGCAUGUGUGAUUGCCCCAAAUAUGGUAACCUUUACUUCAAUGUCGACCAAGCUUAAACCAAGUUUACACGAGACCUAGCCUUGCACACUAUUAACGAACUUAAAAAAUGAAAACAUCUUUACAUGAUGUCAUUCUUUCUUGUCAUGGGAACCCAACGUUGACUUUACGGAAUUCCUGGUCUUUCUGUUUAAAUGCGAAGGCUGUUUUCAAAAAAGAUGAGAAAUUAGUUAAACACGAAAUUCCAAUAUUCGUUUACAGACAAAGAAAACAAACUUUAAAUUAUCAUUUUUGGGAUCCAAAGUAUGAUCUGUUUCCCGCUGGUUUAUUAAUAGUUAGAACGCAUCAUGCAGCGAGAUAUGCGAUCCAUUCUUAGUCCUUAAGAUUAUAACUAAUAUGCUCCUACUGACCUUGAUUUAAGCAAGGUGGGAACCAAAUUCUGACGUCGUGUCUAUUGUAUAUGCCGAUAGGCAAUCUAAGCAGUUUAAAAGUUAACAAGUUGACAUCAAGUGCAUGCACUUCGUGAAAGAUACGCAAGGUUGAAUAUACAAAACCACGAAACGUAAGGUCCUCUUCGAGAAAUUGUCAUUGUUGUCAUAAGAGUGUACCUUUAUAAAAAGUCUUGUUAUGGGUAACUCAGGCGGAACAUGUGGUGGCGGUGGCUCUAACGGUGGCUGCGGUGGUGGAGGUGGAUAUGCAGGCGGUGGUGGCUCCGGGGUGGCGGAAGUGGCAAGCUCUUGAACAACGAACCUGCCGGACGCAGAGUUCCUAUAAAGCAUUUUGUGGUUUUGAAGGAGGAUGAGGAGGUCCUUCGUGGUGGAAGUUAUAUUGGCAUGGAAACUGGCAGUGGGAUUAUGUGGCGUUAAUUAGUGUUUCGUUUAUAUAGCACUAUACUUCGUUUACGAUAUUGUUGACGUAACAUUCAGAAGUUGUAUCCACUGUUCAACUUUGUUUGAUCGUUAUUACAAAAUCCACUUUAUUUGUUAAUCACUGAAACAAAAUGUUAUUUUUACCAUCCUACUGUGGAUAUGUGCAUCAACACAUAUCUAGCUGUUAUUAUUUGAAUUGCCUUGUUGUUUAAAUGACCUUCGUUCAAUUGCUUUUAAUGUCUGCUUUUUCACGUAAAUGCAACUGUAGUGUUCUGUGGUAAUUGUAUGUUUACUUUUUAAACAAAUAAAGUGAUCAAAUCG